GGGCGUGGUAGCGUACGCUCGUAGUCCCAGCUACUGGGAAGGCUGAGGUGGGAGGAUCACUUGAGCCCAGGAGGUCGAGGCUGCAGUGCGCUGUGAUCACGCCACUGCACUCCAGCCUGAGCAACAGAGUGAGAUCCUAUCUCAA
rfam:Gorilla gorilla gorilla genomic chromosome, chr11, whole genome shotgun sequence